rnacentral:rRNA from 1 species
AAACCAGCACCUCAAGUGGUCAGGAGGAUUAUUGGGCCUAAAGCAUCCGUAGCCUGUUCUAUAAGUUUCCGGUUAAAUCCAUUAGCUCAACUAAUGGGCCGCCGAAAAUACUGUAGAACUAGGGAGUGGGAGAGGUAGACGGUAUUCGGUAGGAAGGGGUAAAAUCCUUUGAUCUAUUGAUGACCACCAGUGGCGAAGGCGGUCUACCAGAACACGUUCGACGGUGAGGGAUGAAAGCUGAGGGAGCAAACCGGAUUAGAAACCCCAGUAGUCC